GACCGUGUAGCUCAGCUGGCAGAGCAUUGGGCUAGUAUUCCAAAGGUCGUAGGUUCGAUUCCCACCGUGGCCA
rnacentral:tRNA from 1 species